rnacentral:rRNA from 1 species
UCGCCUGUUUAUCAAAAACAUGUCCUCAAGUUAAGAAUUUGAGGUCUAGCCUGCCCACUGAACUUAGUGUGUUUGAAGGGCCGCGGUAUUUUGACCGUGCAAAGGUAGCAUAAUCAUUAGUCUUUUAAUUGAAGGCUGGUAUGAAUGGUUGGACGAGGUAUUGACUGUCUCAGUGUAAAUGAUAUUAGAAUUUAACUUUUAAGUUAAAAGGCUUAGAUAGAGUUAGAGGACGAGAAGACCCUAUAGAGCUUUAUAUUAGAUAUUUAUUCUUUGUGUAGUUGUAGCUAGAGUGUAGAUGGAAUAGUAUUUUGUUGGGGUGACAGGAAGAUAGGAUAAACUCUUUUUAAUUUUAAACAUUGAUUUAUGAGUAGUUGAUCCAUUAUUAGUGAUUAUAAGACUAAGUUACCUUAGGGAUAACAGCGUAAUCUUUUUUGAGAGUUCUUAUCGACAAAAAGGGUUGCGACCUCGAUGUUGGAUUAAGGGUAAUUUUGGGUGUAGAUGUUCAAAGUUUAGGUCUGU